rnacentral:rRNA from 1 species
AGACUCCUACGGGAGGCAGCAGUGAGGAAUAUUGGGCAAUGGAGGAAACUCUGACCCAGCCAUGCCGCGUGCAGGAUGACUGCCCUAUGGGUUGUAAACUGCUUUUAUAUAGGAAGAAACACUGAUGNUAGNAGCUGACGGUACU